rnacentral:lncRNA from 1 species
GUGAUUUAAGGUUGUUCUUGUGUUUCUAUUUCUUCUCUACAGGUUGACAAUUAUAGGUUGAAGGUUUUAAUCUUGUAAUUUGGGGGUUUGGUUUUAGGGUUUCUGAAUUUGGGAAUUUUUUGGGGGUUUGGUUUUAGGGUUUCUGAAUUUGGGAAUUUUUUGGGGUUUCUGUUCUUGGUUUUUCUGAUGUUGCGAUUAGAGGAGUUGGAAUCUUUGUUUUCAAAUUGGAUUUUGGGGAUUUCCUGUACUUGAGUUAUUUUUUUU